GAUGAACGCUGGCGGCGUGCCUAACACAUGCAAGUCGAGCGAACAGACGAGGCGUUUGCUGCUCUGACGUGUGCGGCGGGCGGGUGAGACACAUGAGUAUACCGUACCUAUAAGUGUGGGAUCAUUACGGGACACCGGAUAUUACACCGUAGGAUAUAUUGAAGCGUGGGGUUGGUUGGUAAGAUUCGGCUGUUGUGGAUCUACUAGAUGGUUCCGCGCCGGUUUAGCUAGUUGGUACGGUAACAGCCUACUAAGGCGAGGAUGCGUAGCCGAACUGAGAGGGUGAUCGGCGACACUGGAACUGAGACACGGUCCAGACUCCUACGGGAGGCAGCAGUAGGGUAUCGUCCGCAGUGGGCGAAAGCCUGACGGAGCAACGCCGCGUGAGUGAUGACGGUCUUCGGAUCGUAAAGCUGUGUUACGAGGGAAGAACAGAUGUGUACUGAACCAUGGCCGUCUUGACGGUACCGAAUCAAAAAGCAACGGCUAACUACGUG
rnacentral:rRNA from 1 species